rnacentral:misc_RNA from 1 species
GAAUUGCGAAAAGUAAUGUGAAUUGCAUAAUUCCGUGAAUCAUCAAAUCUUUGAACGCAUAUUGCGCUAGCUGGAACUCCGGCUAGCAUGCCUGUUUGAGUCUCAGUUUAAACCUCACUCCCAAAAGGGGUGGAUAUGGGUGAUGGGUCUUCCCUUACCUUAAAAUUAUGAGUGCUAAACCAAGUACAAAUAGAGCCAGUCCGCAAGGAAUGUCUAUUUCGUGGCUAGUCCAACCCUCUAACACAAACUGAAUCAAUGAGCUCAAAUCAAGCAAGACAACCCGCUGAACUUAA